UACAGGGGGGGCAAGCGUUGUUCGGAAUUACUGGGCGUAAAGGGGUUGUAGGUGGCCAACUAAGUCACACGUGAAAUCCCCAGGCUUAACCUGGGAACUGCGUGUGAUACUGGAUGGCUUGAAUUCGGGAGAGGGAUGCAGAAUUCCAGGUGUAGCGGUGAAAUGCGUAGAUAUCUGGAGGAAUACCGGUGGCGAAGGCGGCAUCCUGGACCGACAUUGACGCUGAAAACCGAAAGCUAGGGGAGCAAACGGG
rnacentral:rRNA from 1 species